rnacentral:tRNA from 1 species
GCCAGACUAGCUCAUCGGUAGAGCGAAGGACUGAAAAUCCUUGCGUACCCAGUUCAACUCUGGGGUCUGGCACAA